rnacentral:misc_RNA from 1 species
UAUUUUUUAUUAUUUAUUUUUUUUGUGGAAUGUCAAAUUGUCCUCAAGCCAAUUAAUUAAGUGGUUCAGAAUUUUAUCAAAUGAAGAAAUACUUGAUGAGUUUAAGUAAGGCAAGAAAUAGAAGAUUUGAUAGCUGCAAAGAAUCCCAUUCUGUUAAUGUACCCUUAUUCUUUUUCCUAUUUCUUCAUUUCUUCUUUUGGUCUAAAUUCCAAGAAAGCCUUAUGAGUCCUAAGAG